rnacentral:rRNA from 1 species
CAGCCCCUCGAGUGGUGGGGAUGAUUAUUUGGCCUAAAGCGUCCGUAGCCGGCCGAGCAAGUCUUCCGUUAAAUCCAGCGUCUCAAGCGUUGGACCGCGGGAGAUACUACACGGCUAGAGAGUGGGAGAGGUCAGCGGUAUUCUGGGGGUAGGGGCGAAAUCCUUUGAUCCCCGGAAGACCACCAGUGGCGAAGGCUGCUGACUAGAACACGUCUGACGGUCAGGGACGAAAGCUGGGGUAGCGAACCGGAUUAGAUACCCGAGUAGUCC